CUCUAGUCACCCUUCAGUGUGUCCGUGUGCCUUAUCUUUCCUGGUCAUGUGAUAAGAACCUGAUUUUAGCUGAAUGAAGGAGCAAAGUUCUGCAUCAUUUUGGUGCCCAAACAUGGGGCAUGAGAAAAGGAUGCAAUGGAGAAAAUGUUUGUUUUACAAAGGCUUUGACUGGAAGGCUGUGCUACCCUUUAAGGAGUCAAGCUUGACUUGCAGAGCUGAUAAAAGUCCUUUGGGAAAACUGUCCUCAUACCUUGUCUACAGAAUCCCUGUACAGGGUUCCUGACCUGUGGCCAUCAAACUCUAAAUGGUCAUUCAACUGGAGCCUCAGAUGAUGGCCCUUUUUGCCAGGGAUGUUUAAAUAGGCCUCUGAGGGACAUCAGACUGCUAUUUUCCCUAAACAGCAUCCCUUGCCAUCAGGAAGCAGUUAAGAUCAGUCCUCAUACCUCUUCUUACUCUUAUUCUAACGGCAGUUAGAUGUACUUCUUAGAGUGGGGCGAUGAUAGAUGCAGGAGGUAGAUAAGGAGGAGGUUUCCCAGAUAAUCUCCAACCCACCUGCACACUGGGAGAAGGGGGUGGAGUCAUGGGAAGUUUGCGCCUUGUGCAGUGGGGAGAAGCCUGACUCUUCAGCUCAUGUGUGGUGGUAUGGAAUUCAUUCUGUGAGAUGGAAGCAUACUGUCAGGAUCCUCUCUUGCUUUUCUGAAAGUUUUUCUUUUUUUUUUGCCUUUUUGCCCAAUAAAUUAUCCUCUACUUACCCUUCAAUAUGUCCACAUGCCUAAUGUUUCCUGGUCAUGUGACAAGAACCGAGUUUUAGCUAAACUAAGGAGCAAAGUUCUGCAUCAACUGGAUAUUACUACUAAUAAAAGUUUCAGCGUAACUGGAAAAUAUAAUAAUUGUAAACAUUCAGACAGCUAAGAAUAGAUCAUUAAUGUAUAUGAAGAAAAAGGUAACCAAAUUAGAGAGAAAUAGACAGUUCUACAUUAAGAGUUGAAGACUUCAAUACCUCACUCUUAAUAACACAUAGAAUAAAAUAGACAAAAAUAAGUGAGGAAACAGAGAGCUUUAACAGCAUCAUGAACCACCUAGAUAUAACAGACAUAUACAGAACACUGUAUCCAAUAACAACAACAUACACAUUUUUCUCAAACGCACAAAGAAUGUUUUCCAAGACAGACUAUAUGUUUAGGUCACAAAUUAGUCCCAAUGUAUUUAAAAU
rnacentral:lncRNA from 10 species